rnacentral:rRNA from 1 species
UACGUAGGGUGCGAGCGUUGUCCGGAAUCACUGGGCGUAAAGGGCGCGUAGGCGGACUCUUAAGUCGGGGGUGAAAGCCCAGGGCUCAACCCUGGAAUUGCCUUCGAUACUGAGAGUCUUGAGUUCGGAAGAGGUUGGUGGAACUGCGAGUGUAGAGGUGAAAUUCGUAGAUAUUGGGAAGAACACCAGUGGCGAAGGCGGCUCACUGGCCCGUAACUGACGCUGAGGUGCGAAAGCGUGGGGAGCAAACAGG